rnacentral:tRNA from 2 species
AGCCCUGAGGUGUGUUUACAUAUCAGAUUGCAAAUCUGAAGAAGCAGAUUAAUCGUCUGCCGGGGCUU